rnacentral:rRNA from 1 species
UACGUAGGGUGCAAGCGUUUAAUCGGAAUUACUGGGCGUAAAGCGUGCGCAGGCGGUUUUGUAAGUUUGUCGUGAAAGCCCCGGGCUCAACCUGGGAAUUGCGAUGAAGACUGCAAGGCUUGAAUCUGGCAGAGGGGGGUAGAAUUCCACGUGUGGCAGUGAAAUGCGUAGAGAUGUGGAGGAACACCGAUGGCGAAGGCAGCCCCCUGGGUCAAGAUUGACGCUCAUGCACGAAAGCGUGGGGAGCAAACAGG